UUUUUUUUUUUUUUUUUUAUUAAGGUGAUUCUUACUUCCAAAUGAUCACUGACCCAGUGAUGCAUGUGUUGUGUUCCCUCCAUUGGUAUUUCAGUUUUGACACAAAUCUCGUCUUUUCCUGUUUUUAAUCUCCCUGAACAGAUAAGGUACUUAAGCGUGAGCUGUGCACGCUGAGCAAGCGCAUGCCCUCCUGCAUGGUGCAGCAGAUUUCGGAUUGCCUACGCAACUCACGUGCGCUCACCGACUACGAGGUGCAGGUGAUUCGUGCCGCGGCCACAGACAUGCAACAAGCCACGUGUCUCCUGCAAACGCUCCUGCGCAAGGGCCGCACACCGUGUCUGCUCUUCUUCCGGUGCCUGUAUGCGUGCAGCCCCUCGCUCUUCCACACCGUCACCAGAGGCUUGGUGAAAGUUACUGAUGAGGAUCACCAUCACGUGGAGAUGUCUUCCUUUGCAGAGGCAUCUGGACCUGUUCCCUCAUGUGUCAUAAACAUUAACAAUUCCUCGGUGUCCAACUGCAUCAUUGGAAACAACAACAGCUUGUGCUGUCUUCUCUCUCAGACUGAUGACAUUAACGAUGCAGUAGAAGAUACACAGAGGAGUCAGCAGAGAGAAACGCCAGACUCCUCAGCGGCUCCUAACGUUCAGGUGGAGCACUCCAACGUAGAGUACGUCAUCAUAGGGGACAACAACUACAUGAACAUUGAGAGCAGUCUGGACUCAGAAGAUCAGGAAGAAACGGAUAGUGUGCUGGAGGAUUUUGGGGGGAUAAAGAGGGUGAGAUAAUCAAGAUGGAGACCACAGACUGCAUAUAACAUACGUUAUGUUCCUUGAUGGCAUCAUAAAAAAAAAAAAAGAAAAGAAAAGUUGUCAUGAGCAAAGAAACUCAGGUGAUGUUUUACACAAGCACUCAGUUUAAAACCAGUCAUGGUUAAGAAGGUAUACACAUUGGUGUGAUCUAAUCCAUAGCAGUGUGCAUAGCAUUGUAAAUGCUGUCUCAUGUCAGUACCUCAGUAUUGAUUUGGGUUUUUGUUUUUUUUUGUUACAAAGCGACUGCUAUAUAUUUAUAAGCUAUGUCUUACUGCUUUUGUGCAUGUUUUAUGCUUCACCCAUGAUGAACUGUUUUAUAUUUAUAUAUGAUAUGUUAUUUAUUAAGGCUUGUGAACCUUGUUUGAGUUUUAGUCGAAAAAAUAUAUUAAAAAAUAUCAACAAAA
ensembl:lncRNA